rnacentral:rRNA from 1 species
AUUGAACGCUGGCGGCAUGCCUUACACAUGCAAGUCGAACGGCAGCACGGGAGCAAUCCUGGUGGCGAGUGGCGAACGGGUGAGUAAUAUAUCGGAACGUGCCCAGUCGUGGGGGAUAACGUAGCGAAAGCUACGCUAAUACCGCAUACGAUCUACGGAUGAAAGCGGGGGAUCGCAAGACCUCGCGCGAUUGGAGCGGCCGAUAUCAGAUUAGGUAGUUGGUGAGGUAAAGGCUCACCAAGCCGACGAUCUGUAGCUGGUCUGAGAGGACGACCAGCCACACUGGGACUGAGACACGGCCCAGACUCCUACGGGAGGCAGCAGUGGGAAUUUGGACAAUGGGCGCAAGCCUGAUCCAGCAAUGCCGCGUGCAGGAUGAAGGCCUUCGGGUUGUAAACUGCUUUGUACGGAACGAAACGGUGAGCUCUAAUACAGUUUGCUAAUGACGGUACCGUAAGAAUAAGCACCGGCUAACUACGUG